AAUAUGUGCUAGGGGUGCUCUUAGAGCUGAGAAGACUUUGUCUGACUCUCAUAACCUGAUUUGGAUAAUUCCAACGUAGGGAAGCAGUUAUCAUUUAUA
rnacentral:ncRNA from 2 species